AGAACGAACGCUGGCGGCAGGCUUAACACAUGCAAGUCGAACGCAUCCUUCGGGGUGAGUGGCAGACGGGUGAGUAACACGUGGGAACGUACCUUUCAGUUCGGAAUAACCCAGGGAAACUUGGGCUAAGACCGGAUACGCCCUUUUGGGGAAAGAUUUAUCGCUGAGAGAUCGGCCCGCGUCUGAUUAGCUAGUUGGUGAGGUAAAGGCUCACCAAGGCGACGAUCAGUAGCUGGUCUGAGAGGAUGAUCAGCCACAUUGGGACUGAGACACGGCCCAAACUCCUACGGGAGGCAGCAGUGGGGAAUAUGGACAAUGGGCGCAAGCCUGAUCCAGCCAUGCCGCGUGAGUGAUGAAGGCCUUAGGGUUGUAAAGCUCUUUCGCACGCGACGAUAAUGACGGUAGCGUGAGAAGAAGCCCGGCUAACUUCGUGCCAGCAGCCGC
rnacentral:rRNA from 1 species